UCGAACGAUGAAGCCCUUCGGGGUGGAUUAGUGGCGAACGGGUGAGUAACACGUGGGCAAUCUGCCCUGCACUCUGGGACAAGCCCUGGAAACGGGGUCUAAUACCGGAUAUGACUGUCCACCGCAUGGUGGAUGGUGUAAAGCUCCGGCGGUGCAGGAUGAGCCCGCGGCCUAUCAGCUAGUUGGUGAGGUAGUGGCUCACCAAGGCGACGACGGGUAGCCGGCCUGAGAGGGCGACCGGCCACACUGGGACUGAGACACGGCCCAGACUCCUACGGGAGGCAGCAGUGGGGAAUAUUGCACAAUGGGCGAAAGCCUGAUGCAGCGACGCCGCGUGAGGGAUGACGGCCUUCGGGUUGUAAACCUCUUUCAGCAGGGAAGAAGCGAAAGUGACGGUACCUGCAGAAGAAGCGCCGGCUAACUACGUGCCAGCAGCCGCGGUAAUACGUAGGGCGCAAGCGUUGUCCGGAAUUAUUGGGCGUAAAGAGCUCGUAGGCGGCUUGUCACGUCGGUUGUGAAAGCCCGGGGCUUAACCCCGGGUCUGCAGUCGAUACGGGCAGGCUAGAGUUCGGUAGGGGAGAUCGGAAUUCCUGGUGUAGCGGUGAAAUGCGCAGAUAUCA
rnacentral:rRNA from 1 species